ACGCCAGUGUUCUCUAGAAAUGUGUGGCGAUCGUUCCUAAUGCCUUUGGCUUUCUCAAAAUUUGUGUACAAAAUCAGGACAAAAGUUUGAGUACGUGAUUGUAUCAAUCUACUCACAUUUUGUCACACCGCACUUCGAUUUCUAGCAAUUACAAGACUGACUCCAUUUGCCAAUUAACCUUCUUCAAUUAUGGACCAAGAAGCUCAGAUGUUGAGUUCACAAAUGGGCUCUAGCGAGAAAAUUGGCACAGGCACUUCCAGCUCUCCUGAUUUGGCUGACAUUGUCAUUUCUUGCUGGUUAGAGAUGCAGUCUCUAAAAGAUUUCAUGAUCAUGAAGAUGAAACUAAAACGUCUUCUGCGACCAUUUGGCCUAGUCCAUUUGCUGGAUUCUGUGACUGACACAUACGAACUGUUUGAUACUGUCUUCUUAAAUGAUUAUACCAAUGUGACUGAGCUGCAAAAGUUUGAGCUACUGCAAGAAGCAAUAAAAGUAACAGGAAAACAUGAGAUGGUUGACAAAGUGAGCAAAGCAUACAAACAAACACAGUGUCUAUCUGCAACCAACUCAUUGAACAGUAGACCUAGUCAAUGUCCACAACUGGU